rnacentral:rRNA from 1 species
GAUGAACGCUAGCGGCAGGCUUAAUACAUGCAAGUCGAGGGGCAGCAUGAUUGUAGCAAUACAAUUGUUGACGACCGGCAAACGGGUGCGGAACACGUACACAACCUUCCUACAAGUGGGGAAUAGCCCAGAGAAAUUUGGAUUAAUACCCCGUAACAUAGCGAUGUGGCAUCACAUUGCUAUUAUAGCUUCGGCGCUUGUUGAUGGGUGUGCGGCUGAUUAGAUAGUUGGCGGGGUAACGGCCCACCAAGUCUACGAUCAGUAGCUGAUGUGAGAGCAUGAUCAGCCACACGGGCACUGAGACACGGGCCCGACUCCUACGGGAGGCAGCAGUAAGGAAUAUUGGACAAUGGACGCAAGUCUGAUCCAGCCAUGCCGCGUGAAGGAUUAAGGUCCUCUGGAUUGUAAACUUCUUUUAUAAGGGACGAAAAAAGGUCUUUCUAGAUCGUCUGACGGUACCUUAUGAAUAAGCACCGGCUAACUCCGUGCCAGCCGCCGCCGUAACAC